UCACAAUUAACGGUGGAUCACUUGGGUCGAGUAA
rnacentral:rRNA from 1 species